rnacentral:rRNA from 1 species
UACGGAGGGGGCUAGCGUUGUUCGGAAUUACUGGGCGUAAAGCGCACGUAGGCGGCUUUACAAGUCAGGGGUGAAAGCCCGCGGCUCAACCGCGGAAUUGCCCUUGAGACUGUAUCGCUUGAACACGGGAGAGGUGAGUGGAAUUCCGAGUGUAGAGGUGAAAUUCGUAGAUAUUCGGAAGAACACCAGUGGCGAAGGCGGCUCACUAGACCGUAGUUGACGCUGAGGUGCGAAAGCCAGGGGAGCAAACGGG